rnacentral:rRNA from 1 species
UACGUAGGGUGCAAGCGUUGUCCGGAAUUAUUGGGCGUAAAGAGCUCGUAGGCGGUCUGUCGCGUCGGAUGUGAAAACCCAGGGCUCAACCCUGGGCCUGGCAGCCGAUACGGGCAGGCUAGAGUUCGGUAGGGGAGACUGGAAUUCCUGGUGUAGCGGUGAAAUGCGCAGAUAUCAGGAGGAACACCGAUGGCGAAGGCAGGUCUCUGGGCCGAUACUGACGCUGAGGAGCGAAAGCGUGGGGAGCGAACAGG